rnacentral:rRNA from 1 species
UACGGGGGGAGCAAGCGUUGUUCGGAUUUACUGGGCGUAAAGGGCGCGUAGGCGGCCACGACAAGUCACUUGUGAAAUCUCCGGGCUUAACUCGGAACGGUCAAGUGAUACUGUCGGGCUAGAGUGCAGAAGGGGGCAACUGGAAUUCUCGGUGUAGCGGUGAAAUGCGUAGAUAUCGAGAGGAACACCUGCGGCGAAGGCGGGUGCUGGGCUGACACUGACGCUGAGGCGCGAAAGCUAGGGGAGCGAACGGGG